rnacentral:tRNA from 1 species
GGAGUUGUGGCUCAGUGGUAGAGCAGUUGCCUAGCAUGUAUGAGGAACUGGGUUCAAUUCUCAGCACCG